GACCAGGUUGCUAUAGGUCUCCAACAUCACGUCUCUGUACAAAUCCCUCUGAGCGGGUGCAAGCUGUUCCCAUUCCUCUUGGGAGAAGACUAUGGCCACAUCCGUGAACAAGUCUGACUCCUGAAACAACAGGCAGAGGUUGGAUCAGAUCUCUGAAGGCUCUUCCAAGCUCUGCCUACCUGGAUUCUGAAAAAUUCAUCCAUCUGGUUGGUUGCCUCACAAUCCCCUCACCUCUGUACUUCUCUCGUUCUCAAGCUGAAGAAGCGGCUAUAGAAUGACCCACAUUCAAAUGCUCUGUUUGACCUCAAACUGCACCUUGAUUCUGGCAUCUAAUCUCCCACAGAUACCCAGCUAAGAGAUCGUGCCUCACACUGAAAUUGAGACCAACCAAGACCUGUUCCCAUGCUUUUCCAUGUUAUAUCCCUCAUAAAUAUUCAUCUCCAUUUCAUCAAACCUCGGUUUUCAGUUUAUACAAGGAAACGGAUUUCUGCUCUAUCUAGCCUCCUGGCAGAAUACCACACCAUCAGAAGAUAUGGAAUGCUAUACAGAAUGAACCCAUGGGCAUUGGUCAGAGUGGAGGGGGCAGUGGGAGAGAGUACCAGCUGCCGGGCCUUUAUAGUCCCUAAAAUGGGAACCUCUGAGAACUGGAUUCUUGGAUGAAACCCAGAUGGGAGGCUUCGAGAUAAACAAAGGAAAUAUUUACAUGAUUUUAAAACUCACAAGGGACAUGACUUUUAGAAUUUCAUGGGCUGAUGGGUCCUCCUCCAGGUUCCUCUCUUGGGGAAGGGCAGAGUCCUGAGAUGGCAGAGCUGGGGGAGGAAAGAGCAAACAUGAGAGGCCAAGCUUGCCUUACAGCUCCCAGAAUGCCAUGGUUACAAGUCCCCACCUUUUUAUCCCCCGCUCCCUACAAAAACUAGAGUUGGAACACUGUGGCCUUUACCCAACUCUAGGAAACCUAGCUUUAGCUGUUGCCAAUGACACGGGGAACCAGUGGCCCUUUCUCUCCCACUUCCCUUAAAUAUCCAGAGAAUUCCACCUUGUUACUGAUGCAGAUCUGUGAUGGGGAUGCUCAGUCCUGGUUCAGUGACUAGACCACAUGGUGUCCCAAGGACAAGAAAGGCUGUCCUCAGGCCAGGGAGCACAGUCUGCCUGAUCGGCAUCAGCCCAGCCCAGAGUGAAGCCUUCCCAGAAAUAGACCAUUUAACUCUCUCGUACCCACAAUGUAACACCUCCCGGGCUCUUUACUCAACUUCCAAAUUCACAAAGAACCUUACAGCCCUUCCGAAGGCCUGGUGGACACCACUGUGUGGACCCCGCCUUGAGUCAACAGACGGGGUGUGGCUGCAAUGGGCAAAUCAGAUGGCUCCAUUACCACCACAUAAAUGUGCCCCUGCACAGAGACUAACAGUAAGCAAAGCUGUGUGCACAAAAUUUACUGAAAAAGAGAACAAAAAUUGGUCCGUAACAGUCCACAAAAGUAGGCAAGUGGUUGAAUCACUGUUCGCACAGCCAUAUGAUGGAACACCAAACAACUAUCAAAAAUUAUGUGGGGCGGGGCGCCUGGGUGGCUCAGUCGUUAAGCGUCUGCCUUUGGCUCAGGUCAUGAUCCCAGGGUCCUGGGAUCGAGCCCCGCAUCAGGCUCCCUGCUCCGCGGGAAGCCUGCUUCUCCCUCUCCCACUCCCCCUGCUUGUGUUCCCUCUCCUGCUGUGUCUCUCUCUGUCAAAUAAAUAAAUAAAAUCUUUAAAAAAAAAAAAAU